rnacentral:tRNA from 1 species
GCCUCUGUGGCUCAACCUGGUAGAGCGGCGCUUUCGUAAAGCGCAAGUUAAGGGUUCAAAUCCCUUCAGAGGCU